UACGUAGGUGGCGAGCGUUGUCCGGAUUUACUGGGCGUAAAGAGCGCGCAGGCGGUCGUGCAAGUCGCGUGUGAAAGCCCCCGGCUCAACUGGGGAGGGUCACGCGAUACUGCUCGACUCGAAGGCAGGAGAGGGAAGUGGAAUUCCCGGUGUAGUGGUGAAAUGCGUAGAGAUCGGGCGGAACACCAGCGGCGAAGGCGGCAUCCUGGCUCUGUUCUGACGCUGAGGCGCGAGAGCGUGGGGAGCAAACUGG
rnacentral:rRNA from 1 species